AUUGAACGCUGGCGGCAUGCCUUACACAUGCAAGUCGAACGGCAGCACGGGUGCUUGCACCUGGUGGCGAGUGGCGAACGGGUGAGUAAUACAUCGGAACAUGUCCUGUAGUGGGGGAUAGCCCUGCGAAAGCCGGAUUAAUACCGCAUACGAUCCACGGAUGAAAGCGGGGGACCUUCGGGCCUCGCGCUAUAGGGGUGGCCGAUGGCUGAUUAGCUAGUUGGUGGGGUAAAGGCCUACCAAGGCGAUGAUCAGUAGCUGGUCUGAGAGGACGACCAGCCACACUGGGACUGAGACACGGCCCAGACUCCUACGGGAGGCAGCAGUGGGGAAUUUUGGACAAUGGGCGAAAGCCUGAUCCAGCAAUGCCGCGUGUGUGAAGAAGGCCUUCGGGUUGUAAAGCACUUUUGUCCGGAAAGAAAUCCUUGACUCUAAUACAGUCGGGGGAUGACGGUACCGGAAGAAUAAGCACCGGCUAACUACGUG
rnacentral:rRNA from 1 species